GUCUCAGCUUAUAUCCUUGUUAUGGUCAACGAUGGGAUCUCAUUUUUAAAAAGUUGCCAAACAAUUAUCGACAACGACAGUAUACCAAGUGUCACAGCUUAAAGGUGAAAAGGCUUCCACAGGUUUCUGUUUCAAAUAAAAAUAGGAAACUUAAACCUCUUGUGACUGAAUUGGUAGCUAAUCAAGAGCAGUUAUUAAAAGAUGUUGAAAAUGAAUUAAAAAAAAAAAGCCGUCACAGCCAACCUUGUCCAUUUUAAAUAGACAACUAUUUGAUAAUGAGACAUUUAGCAUGAUACCGAAGAGAAUUAGUUUUGCUCCUACACUAAUGCUGGAGGAAGCAAUUCGUUUUUAUGCCGAUUUCAAGGAUGCUAUAAUCAAGAUUUAAGCAAUGUUAUUUUGGAUUUCUCCAGAGUCUGGUAACCACACUGAAAAUUUGUUAAAGCUCCAACAGAAACUUAUUUCCAAGAAGGCAUGUGACAAAUUGUUUAUGAAAGUGGAUGU
rnacentral:lncRNA from 1 species